UGUGGUACCUCUAGUGGUGCUUUCUGCUGUUGUAGUGCCUGUGGUCGUGCUUUCUGUUGUUGUAGUGUCUGUUGUGGUCUCGGUUGUGGUGCUUUCUGGUGUUGUGGUACCUGUGGUGGUGCUUUCUGUUGUUGUAGUGUCUGUUGUGCUCUUGGUUGUUGCUCUUUCUGUUGUUGUGGUACCUGUGGUGGUGCUUUCUGUUGUUAUAGUGUCUGUUGUUUUCUCAGCUGUUGUGGUACCUGUGGUGGUGCUUUCUGGUGUUGUAGUGUCUGUAGUGGUCUCGGUUGUGGUGCUUUCUGAAGUUGUUAUAGCAGUGGUGGUACUUUCUGUUGUUGUGGUCUCGGUUGUUGUGCUUUCUGGUGUUAUGGUACCUGUAGUGGUACUUUCUGGUGUUGUAGUGUCUGUUGUUGUCUCGGUUGUGGUGCUUUCUGGUGUUGUAGUGUCUGUUGUUAUCUCGGUUGUGGUGCUUUCUGGUGUUGUAGUGUCUGUUGUGGUCUCUGCUAUUGUGGUACCUGUAGUGGUGCUUUCUGGUGUUGUAGUGUCUUUUGUGGUCUCGGUUGUUGUGGUACCUGUGGUGGUGGUUUCUGUUGUUGUAGUGUCUGUUGUUGUCUCGGUUGUGGUGCUUUCUUGUUUUGUGGUUCCUGUGGUGGUGCUUUCUGGUGUUGUAGUGUCUGUUGUUAUCUCGGUUGUGAUGCUUUCUGGUGUUGUAGUGUCUGUUGUGGUUUCUGCUGUUGUGGUACCUGUAGUGGUGCUUUCUGGUGUUGUAGUGUCUGUUGUUAUCUCGGUUGUGGUGCUUUCUGGUGUUGUGGUACCUGUAGUGGUGCUUUCUGGUGUUGUAGUGUCUGCAGUGGUGUCGGUUGUGGUGCUUUCUGAAGUUGUAAUGGUAGUGGUGGUACUUUCUGUUGUAGGGCUUUCUGUUGUUGUGGUCUCGGUUGAUGUGCUUUCUUGCGUUGUGGUAGCUGUAGUA
ensembl:lncRNA